AAAACAAAACAAAAAAAAAAAAACAACACCUUGACACAACUGGGUAAUCCCUAAAUCCUGGACUGGUAGGCGUGUCUUGAGAACUGGUUUGGAAACCAUUGCACUAAAGAAACAGGUUACGUUAAUUAAAUGUGUGUUGAAUGGGCUAAUCGGCAGCAAUCCAUGGGAUAAUCUCCUGAUAUGAUAUAAUGUUGCAAUGUAG